UGUCCUGCUCCUCUGAGGGAGGGGACAGUCCUCAGUACAGCUGGACUCUGGAUGGACACACACUGACAGACGUUCAGCUCCUCUCUGGAAAUAAUGAGACCAACAUCAUCACUCUGAAACAAGACGUCUCAGGACUACUGGUCUGCUCUGUCAGGAAUCACGUCAGUAAUGUCUCGAAAGAAAAGAAGAUAUCUAUGUGUGGUGAGACAGAACAUAACUAGAAAUCAACUUGAUAAUUGACGAUUACACUGUACAUUAGUCACAGUUGAUCUGUUUGUUUGUCCGUAGGCUUCAUAUUCAUCAACUGCACCUUACCCGAUGGGACAAACAUAUCACAGUGGGUGUUUUCAGCCAAUAACACUCUGUGUAUUGAUCCAACAACCAUGAUCGUGAUCACAGCUAACUCGCUGCUUGUAAGUGUUUUGCGACCAGUUGUGGCACUUUCUCUAUUGGGUGGGAUUGCCAUCUAUUUUGCUUGGAAGAAGAAGAAAUACAAGAAAGCUGAAAUCUCCACCAGACCACGAAUAAAGAACCAUCCAGAGAACUCCUUCGAAAUGGUUGAAUUGUGAAGUUCUGCAUUUGAACGUUAACUUUGUGAAACCAUCAGGAUGGUUUUCACCUUCUGCAGUGAUUGGUCAUGUGUCUUCAAAGGUAUCAAAAUGACAGGAUUUACUGUGAAAUCUCUCUCCUGUUUUUAUUCUUUACAAAACUUCUUCUGCCACUGUGUUCACAGCUCAGAAGCUUGCUGUGAGUACCUUUACAAAAAAGUCUUAGUGAGUGUUUCCUGCAUUUAUCACAGUGCAAAAGAUGGGCUCAGUGCAUCCUUUAUACAGAUUUAAAAAGUAAACAGACCUGUUGUGAAAUCAUCAGUGUACUGCUGCCUUUAGAGAGUGGUAAAGCCUGCAGAUCCCCACAGCUCUGCAUGUGAUCAUAGAACAGAGAAGACAUUACAGUUGAUACUGUCUGAUGAUAAUGUACAAAACUGUUUUCUUUCAUUACUGCUGAAGUGAAUUACAGUUACAAUCAAACACACUUUUAUGUCUAAAUGUGCUGAAAGUGUCAAUUUAUGUUAAAGGAAAAUGUCACAUUGUGAAUAGAGCUUAUAUUGUUAUUUUAGUGCUGAAACUAAUUUUGAUGCUAUUUGGAAAUUAUUGUACUGUAGAUUUCCAUAUCCUCACUGUCCAGCUAAAACCUUGUAUCUCCAAAUUUGGUGAUUUUCUUACUUCUUAAAUUAAACCAAUUUAAACACACUGGAUUAUUGACAUAUGCACUGUCAGAAGUUGAUGUUUUGUUGAUACAUGGUUUUAACUUUUGUAUAGGCAUGUUGAAUUUAGUUGCUACAUACAUUGAAAAAAAUGUGAUUUUGUAUUCAAAGCUUUUUAUUGACAAAUUUGUUUGUAUUAAAGCCCAAAAAGUGAAUCUACAAAAUAUAAAAUGCUGGCAAGUGAA